ACCGGAUGUCAGGCCACUGUGUCUCGAACAUGGACCUGGGUUUGUUAUGGAAGAGAGGGGAGGGCAGGCCCCUGGUCUGGUGAGAAGCACAGACGAUUUCCUCCAGGCCCCCGCUCAGCCGAACUGCACCCCUCUGGAUACCUUGAGAACCUCGCGUCACCCCUCUGAGCCUCACUUCUGGCACCCCGCUGCGUGCACGGAUGUUUGAGCUUGAGAAAUCGGUGCUUGAGGCCAUCAGUGAAAACAAGAGGUGCUAAGAACUCUACAACCUUGAGAAGACGGCCAACAAACAGGGCCCAAGUGCUGCCUCCCAGCUUCAACCCAACAGCUUCUUAUGAGCAGGAGAAGAUGCUCUACUACCUCUUGCCUCUGGUCCUCACCCUUCACGCGUCCGGAGGUGGAUAUGAUCCAGGUUCCUUUGCGGCCCCAAGUCUGAUCUGAGGAUGUACUUGGAAGGGCGGCUUCCCUGGUGGUUUACUCACUGCCAUCACAGCAAGGAAGGGGCUGGAUCUGCAGAAGAGACGACCUGUAGACCCAAUUCUGGAAUGCUUGGGAAUGCCAAAGUUGGAAGCUGAAUUCCAGGGCAGGUGGAAAUUGUAAUUUCUCUCAUAUCAGGACAAAGUUGCCUGA